rnacentral:lncRNA from 1 species
GGGGAAAUAACUCUCAUAUGGAGCGGUCAUAUCGCUUCGGUCAAAAUAGGACAAAUCAUGCGAAGGAUAUAACGAGCAAUUUUGUAAAAUAAAUUUGUCAUAAUCUUUUACGGUUGCGAAGGAGAUGCGCUAACAAGGAAAACAGUGUUUGGGGAGAUAACUCCUACAAAGAAAAGUAUUCGUUUACGCAGGGUAAAUUUCAAAAGCGCAUAAACUGUUCGAUAUCAUAUACCAAAUAUCUAAGCGACAUAUUGCGAAACAAAUGUUUAUCGCAAGAACAAAAUUAGGCGGAAGAAAAAAAAAAAUAAUAAUUAAAAACCAAUUGUUCAGAGAACAAUUGAAGGUCUUUCCACUGAAAACAAUGUAUUUUAAUAUGAAAAGUUGUAAAAUUAAGUUUAAAAUGUCAUUUCAAUCGUCAACUGAUAGGUUAUUGUACGCUGAUUCCAGAAAUAUAUGGUUUCUAUACAAUAUUUUUUAAAUAAGGGAGAUAAUUUGUUACUUUCGGUUUGAAAAAUGUUACUUCCGAUAAUAUUUGAAUAUUUAAUUGACACUGAUUCCAAAAAGAUCUGGUUCUAUAUACUUUUUUAUUAAUAAAGUUCAAAAAUUAGCUACUUCCGGUUUAACACAAAGGUCAAUUCCGUUGUUUUUUCAAGGUUAAAUGGUUUGAUACCUUUCGCCAAAAGUUCAUGGAUAUAUAUGUAUAAAUUUGAGCUAAAGCAAAGGUCAAAAACUAGAACGUCAAAUUAAUCUAUGACCUUGAGAUCAAUUUCAAGGUCAUAAACAAGGACCUCAAAUCAAAAGACACUAUAGGACUUAAUUAUAUUGGUUAAUCAGUUUAUAUCACCAUUUAGACGUAUUUUUAGAUACAAGAGGGGAGAAAACUCCUUUUACGUUCAACGUACCCUUGCAAUCAAAAUUUAUGUGUUACGACAUGUCGCAACUAACAAUUUAGUAAAAAUAAUUUGUCGAUAUCUUAUACAGUUUCUGGAAAUUAAGUGAAAUAAGCCAAAUUCAAAUUUAGAAUUGACCUUUGACCUUUGACCUUGACCUUAAUUUAUUAUUUUUUUGGACCAAGGACCUCAAAUCAAAAGAUCCUUGGUCUCUAUCACUUAUGGUUUACAAGAUUAGAAAUGCAUAUCACUUAUAUAUCAAAUGCAAAGGGGAAUAACUCUCAUAUGGAGCGUUCCGGAUAUCACUUCGGUCAAAAUAGGACAAAUCAUCGAAGGAUAUAAACGAGCAAUUUGGAAAAUAAAUUUGUCAUUUCUUUUACGGUUGCGAAGAGAUGCGCUAACAAGGAAAAACAGUGUUUGGGGAGAUAACUCUUACAAAGAAAAGUAUUUUGUUUACGCGGUGUCAGUUUCAGAAGCGCAAUUAACUGUUCGAUAUCAUAUACCAAAUAUCUAAGCGACAUCUUGCGAAACAAAUGUUUUCAGCGAAGGUAAAAAAAGUUGGCGGAAGAAAAAAAAACAAUAAUUAAAAACCAAUUUGUUCAGAGAACAAUUGAAGGUCUUUCAACCAAAAAGGAUCUAUUUUGAUAUGAAAAUAUUAAAAUUCAGUUGAAAAUGUCAGUUCCUAUGGCUUUAUGAUGUAUAAAUAUGAAUUUCGAGCAAAGGUCAAAAUCUAGAACGUCCAAUUAACCUAUGACCUUGACCUCAAUUUCAAGGUCAUAAAAAGGAUCUCAAAUCAAAAGACACUAGUUCCUUAAUAUGUAUGGUUCAUGAGUAAUAUCACUUUACGCAUAAUUCUAAAUAUAAGAGGGGCGAAAACUCCCGUUUAUUGUCUACGCACCCUUGCAACAAAAUUUAUAAGUUACGACAUGUCGCAACUAACAAUUUAGUAAAAAUAAUUUGUCGAUAUCUUAUAAGGUUAAUGAAAAUAAGUGAAAAUAAGCCAAAAUCAAAAUUUAGAAUUUGACCUUGACCUUUGACCUUGACCUAAUUUUCAUUUUUUUGGACCAAGGAUCUUAAAUCAAAAGACCCUAGGUCUCUAUCACUUAUGGUUUACCAGUUAGAAAUGCAUAUCACUUAUAUCAUAUACAAAAGGGGGGGUAACUCUCAUAUGGAGUCUCCGGAUAGCUUCGGUCAAAAUAAAACAGAACAUCCUGAGGAUAUAAA